GUCUACGGCCAUACCACCCUGAACACCCCCGAUCUUGUCUGAUCUCGGAAGCUAAGCAGGGUCAGGCCUGGUUAGUACUUGGAUAGGAGAGAUUCUAAGAAGACUGAGACC
rnacentral:rRNA from 1 species